UUAUAUGAGAGUUUGAUCCUGGCUCAGGACGAACGCUGGCGGCGUGCCUAAUACAUGCAAGUCGAACGCACGAAGUUGAAGAGCUUGCUCUUUAACCAAGUGAGUGGCGGACGGGUGAGUAACACGUGGGUAACCUGCCCAUUAGAGGGGGAUAACAUUCGGAAACGGAUGCUAAUACCGCAUAGUUUCAGGGAUCGCAUGAUUCUUGAAGGAAAGGUGGCUCCGGCUACCACUAAUGGAUGGACCCGCGGCGUAUUAGCUAGUUGGUGAGGUAAUGGCUCACCAAGGCAAUGAUACGUAGCCGACCUGAGAGGGUGAUCGGCCACACUGGGACUGAGACACGGCCCAGACUCCUACGGGAGGCAGCAGUAGGGAAUCUUCCGCAAUGGACGAAAGUCUGACGGAGCAACG
rnacentral:rRNA from 1 species